GCCUUGCUAGCUCAAUCGGUAGAGCGUGUGACUCUUAUUAAUUCUGUUCAUAGAAUAUCAAAGUCAUCACAAGGUUGGGGGUUCGAGCCCCCCGUAGGGCU